UCAUCCAAAACAAAAUUAUGUUUGUCUCCACAACCUCCAUCUUCGUCACCACCAUCGCCGUCUGCAUCUCCACGAAAAAGCGAUAAAACUAAACUCCACCACCAUCAUCUCCAGCACCACCUCAUCGCCCACCUUCUCUACAUAUUCAUCAUCAUCUCCAUCACUACCUCUUAUAUUUCCACCAAAUCCACCACCUACAGCACCACCUCUUCCUCCCAAACAAUCGAUUCAGAUUCAAAACCUAAAUCUGGUGAUGAUUCAACUAAAAAUUAAUCUUCAAAACUUAAUUUCGAAAAUGAGAAAUUAGAUUCAUUUUGAUUCAUCUGGAUUCGGAUUAGAGAACCUAAAUUCUACGGUAACAAUGUUAGUUCUUAAAUGGUCACCUACAAUUGGAUCUGGAGAUUCAAUAUUCAAAAGAGAAUUAAAAGGAAACGGUGGUGGUGGUGGUCGGGAAAUGGUGGUAGUGGUGAAUUCUUCUUGCUUCCGAAGAAAAAGGGUACGCAAAUGAUGGUGGUGGUGAUGAUUUCCUGGGUUCGGUCCAUAUAUGAUUCUUAUUACAUCAUCUCUGGUUGCCGGCUUCCCCACCCUCUUGCAAGUGAUCUUAGUUUCCCAAGGUAUUGGAAUUAUUUGAGGAAGCAUACAUUUGUACUUGAAGCGUACAUAGAUAGAGUCAAUUGGAUUUGUUGGGAUUUGUUUCACCAUACAUCAUGGCAAUGGUUCAUAUAGCAUCAACAUUACGAGUAUCUUUCAGAGGUUACUCAUUUUUGGUGGUAUCAAAUUAUAACUUUAUUCAAGUGGGUUUAAUGAGAAAGGAUAUGUUGAUUAUCUUCAUUUCAUUUAUAUUGGAGCCAAUAUUAUUCUAGAUCCAUUUUACAGGUUUGGUUCUUAGGAAUUAAUUUCCAUGGUCGAAAGAUCUUUGGACUUCAGUUUUUAUGGGAUCAAUUACUGUUGUUGAUCUAUUUUGUGGGAUCAACUACUAUUGUUGACACCAUUUUUUAUGGAUCAACUAUUGUUGUUGAUCCCAUUUAUGCAAUCAACUCAUGUUGUUGACAGCAUUUUCUAUGGGAUCAAUUCCUAUUAUCGACAACAUUUCCUUGGAUUAGUAUAGUCAUAUUUGUAGUUUAGAUCAUGUUUGUUAAAAAAGUUAGCUUAAUUUCUUGUUGGUUUGUGUUGUUGUUCGACUGAUGGUAGUGGUGGUGUUGUCAGAUUUUAUAGGUGUAAAGUUCUUCAAAUGUUGAAUUUGUGGUGCAAUGGUAACAUGACUGACUCUAUGUCAGAUGCGUGUUCGACUAUCGCCAAAUUCACUCAUUCAUGUAUGUCAUUUUUUGUUUUUCAUGUCAAACUUUGGUGGUUGAUUCCAUCUGGGAUCAACUUCCAUUGUUGACACUACUGGACUAGAAUAUUUUUCAGUCAUUUGUGCCAACUUUGGUAGCUGAUUCCAUUCACCGGGAUUAACUUCCAUUGUUAACACAAGAAAGCUGGAAUAUUUUUUCAGUUAUUGUGUCAACUUUGGCGGUUGACCCCAUUCACUGGGAUCAACUUCCAUUGUUGACACAACUGAACUGGAUUAUUUUUUUGUUAUUUGUAUAAAAUUUGGUUGUUGACUUCAUUCAUGGGAUCAACUUAGCUUGUUGACUAAAAAAAAAUUGAAAUAUGUAUUAGUAAAGCUUUUUUUUGACAUUUUAAUUUUUGGAUCAACUUUGGUUGUUGACACCAAAUUUUGGUGGCGGCGGUGGUGGUGGC